rnacentral:sRNA from 1 species
UCUGCGUGAAUGCGUUGGUGGUCUACAC